rnacentral:rRNA from 1 species
GUGCCAGCAGCCGCGGUAAUACAGAGGGUGCAAGCGUUGUUCGGAAUUACUGGGCGUAAGGCGUGCGUAGGUUGUAUUGAGAGUCAUAGGUGAAAUCCCCAGGCUUAACCUGGGAACUGCCCGUGAGACCUCAGUACUAGAGUGUGAGAGAGGAUUGUGGAAUACCUGGUGUAGCGGUGAAAUGCGUAGAGAUCAGGUGGAACACCGGUGGCGAAGGCGGCAAUCUGGCUCACAACUGACACUCAGGCACGAAAGCGUGGGUAGCAAACAGGAUUAGAAACCCUGGUAGUCC